GUAAUUUCUCAGCAAAGUGAAAGAAAUGAAAAAGUUUAAAGCACUCGAGAGUAGAGAUUUGUUUUCAAUGAAAACUAUUUAUCCCCAAUUGUGCACACAAAAGGAUUUGCUUCACACUCUAUCAUAUAAGCAUCAUUCAACAUCAUAACCCAUCAUAAAAGACAGGAAGAAAAAUCAAGCUACUGGAUUGAAACAAACAAGACCGAUUUCAAUUAGAUCCACAUUUACACAGUUACAAUGAGGGAGAGAUUUGAGAACAUUAUUUUGCUUCUGAGAAAUGUGGGGGAAAGGGUGGUAAGGUAAGUGAAGAACAAAACAUAGUUCACUAAUACAAAAGAGUUACAAAAUCUAUUCAUGUUGUACUAGCUCAACACAAAUGCACAUUUUUUUAUUUCUUUACGAGUUUUUCCCCUAUGACAUAUCUGCUUUCUUCCAGAAAUUUAAUGAACUUCUCCUCAACAGGAACCACCCACGCUGGGUUGGUCAAAAUUUCAAAAGAUGCCUCAGGCUCCACCUUUUUCUCUGAAUGACUUGACCUCAACCAUUUUCCUGCAAUCUUCAUGAGUCUGGAUUAGUAAAUUUAGAAACUGAAAGCAAAUGCAAGUUCAAUUAAAUUGGUAUAAGUUUUACCUAUUUUGAUAUAUGCACAUUUUAAGGUUAUCAUGGCAUUUUAAUGUUAUCAGCAUAAAAACAAUACCUUAAUUAUAAUUAAUUGCACAGGCACAUACCAAAGCUAAUGCCUUGAGUUAAAAUCACGACAACAAGCGACUUAACUUUAAAUAAACAUUUUCUUCCUUUUGCUGAAAUUUUCAUUCUCAAUCAUGCUGUUACAUGCUACAGUCUUCAAAUUCUUUUAAAGAAUUCGUUCUUAUAAAAUAUUAAAUAACUAAGAGGAUGAAGCUAUCUAGUUAGAAGGCAAUGAUAUAAAAGGUUCACAAUAAGAUUAUAUAAUUCUAACACCAAUAAGUUUCUCAAUUAGAUACAUAAGUUUGAUCAAUCUCCAAUGUGUUUAGGUAUCAAUUCAUCUAAUCCUCAAAUAUAAAGACAUGGCUAAAUUAUCAAAGCAUCCGAUUUUCCUUUUGUUUUUUUUUUCAUAGCUUGGGUAAAUGAUUUGUUAAAACAACAUAGCAUAUGCAAUGUGAGUGCUUUGCUUGUUUUGAGAUAUCAUUCAAAAGAGGAACAAAUUAAGAAAGUAUACUGUGGAACUUCCUGUAUACUAGGAAUGUGUUCCUCUUUUCUUUGAUGGAUGCUCCCAUUGAUAGCUCACAAUCCAUAACCCUCUACAUGUAUCACAUAUUUUGAAGCGCCAGAGCAACAUUGAUUCUAACACAAAAGAAAUAACCCAACUUUAUCAACUGCCUGAGAAAUAUAUUGAAAAGAUAUGUUUGCCAAUUUAAUUCCUCAAAUGCUGAAAAGAAAAGUAUAGCACUACAAGGAGCUGAUCUUUUAUGACUUAAAAUUGGGUUAAUCUUCAUAGCAAUUUAUAACCACCGACUAGGCUACAUCAUCAAGAGGCCUCCUACAAAGCAACAAUACUUGUGCACUAAUGUUGGAUAAUUCUUGUAGAAGCUUCAAGAAAUUCCACUAAAUUCAACAAAACUUUUAUCCCAAAUGCCUAGGGUGGAAGCCUCGAGUAAUUCUACAACAAUAUCAAAUAAAUCAAUGCAGUCAACAAUAAGAACUUGUAAUAGAUGGUUAAUACUUUGAAUAAUAUUUAUCUGCUGCAGCUCCCAUAACAAGCCAUUUUAUAUUAUUCUGAGCAAUGAUUUCUACAAUCCCUUUCUCAAUAUUUUCCAUUUCAAUCCACAGUUUAUAAGGCCGCACCUGUAGAAAUAAGCCACAUAGUCAAAUAAUAUUUGACAACAUCUAAUCAUUUGGGUGAAAAUUAGUCUUCUAGGAGGAUCUCCAGGAUGAAGUAAACAUGGUUCAGAAUUUUGAACUUUCCACUAUUUUUUUUUUGGACAAGUUACAUUGUCUAAAUAAACUUCAAAGUUCAAAACCAAUGGAAUAAGAAUCAAAACUAUGGACUCAAUACUAAUGCAAUGCACUUCAAUUGUAACCAAAUUAACAAGGAAAAUAAUGAGAAGAAAUAAUACCCCCAUUUGGGCAAGAAUAAGAAGGUAUUGAUUGAGAAGUUUCAGCAUAUUUUUGCCUUUCAUGUUUGUAGGAAGCCUUGACCGCCUGUUGUUUCAAUUUGUUAGCUGAAACCUUUUUGUUCACUGCAAAUAAAAGAAAAAAUAAUAGUUAUUAUCUUAAAAGUACAAAGAAAUCUACCAAAUAAGACCUAUGCAAUAAAGUCAACAAAAACUAAAGAUUUUUUUACCAAAAACUUAUCAUGUAUUGCAUGUUGAAACAACUAGUAUCACUCAAGUAAAUUAAUUGGAAUUAGAUUAAUGUAUUAGCUCGUUUGAUCAUAAACACAAAA
rnacentral:lncRNA from 1 species